GUUUCCUUUAUUUUCUUUGCCAAGUGGAGCCAGGCUUAGACGUGUGUGGUGGGGCAGCCAGAAACAAACCCAAUGCACGACUCAGACUGAGCUGCUCUGGGCCACCAUUUAUAUGGAAGAUUACAGGAAAUCAAGCUUUUCCCCACCCCAACAUUAGGUCCAAGGUUUGAGUUCGUUUCUCCAAUAGAAAACGGUGUGAUGAGUAGGGUGCCUCCAGGACACAGGGCCGUAGGACCUGUCUGCUAUUCUCUUCCUCUCCCAACCAAAUAUUCCACCUGGUGACUUUUUCCUGGCUCCUCCCCUUUCCUAGACCGCUUUCCCCACUGCCUCCCACUGUAACCUCCAACCCUAAAUGUCACCUCAGUGGGGCCUUCCCUGACCACACCCUCGGGAAAAUCCCCAGGCAUUGGGUAUCACCCCUUUUUAGCCCUCUGGCAAAAGCGCACAGCUCAGCCCACAGGGAAUCAUGGGGGCAGGAGGGAAGCUUCUUAAAGAAAAGGAGCUUAAAAAGUCAGUGGCCCUGGGGAAAAGGAGGUGAAGUGACAGGGAGCGAACACCUCGCUCUAGGCGGCAGGCCCGCGGGUCAGAAGCGAUGCAGUGGGUCGCAGGGGCCCUGCAACGCUGGACGAAGUGACGUGGACCCUGCCCCAGGCUGGAGGGCGGGCGGGGCGCCUUUCCAGCCCCCCUGGAGACCUACCCCCGGGCGCCCCUCCGAAGGCAAGGUCCAGCUUGACUGCGGAAGGCUGGGAGAAUCAAGGCAGGAGCCAUGCGGUGUGGGGGCGCGGAACUCGAGGAAAUGGUGGGGCGACCCUUGGCGGGAUCUGGUGCCGCAGGCGGAGCCCCGCGGAGGUGCCUGGGCCCUCCGGGCGGGGGACGGCCGCUCAAGGCAGAGGGGUGCCGGGUCCCAGCUGGACUGCGGGCGGCAGUCUCCCGGGCGCGCCUCUCCGGCCGAGCGCG
ensembl:lncRNA